rnacentral:rRNA from 1 species
GCGCAGCAGUCGAGAAACCUCCGCAAUACACGAAAGUGUGACGGGGCCAUCCCGAGUGCCGUCCGCUGAGGACGGCUUUUCCCCAGUGUACACAGCUGGGGGAAUAAGGAGAGGGCAAGCCUGGUGUCAGCCGCCGCGGUAAUACCAGCUCUCCGAGUGGUGGGGACGCUUAUUGGGCCUAAAGCAUCCGUAGCCGGCUGGGCAAGUCCUCCGUUAAAUCCAACGAUUCAAUCGUUGGGCUGCGGGGGAUACUGUCCAGCUUGGGGGCGGGAGAGGCCGACGGUAUUCCCGGGGUAGGGGUGAAAUCCUAUAAUCCCCGGGAGGACCACCAGUGGCGAAGGCUGUCGGCUAGAACGCGCCCGACGGUGAGGGAUGAAAGCUGGGGGAGCGAACCGGAUUAGAUACCCGGGUAGU